rnacentral:rRNA from 1 species
AGAGUUUGAUCAUGGCUCAGAACGAACGCUGGCGGCAGGCCUAACACAUGCAAGUCGAGCGCCCCGCAAGGGGAGCGGCGGACGGGUGAGUAACGCGUGGGAACGUGCCUCUUGCUAUGGAAUAGCCUCGGGAAACUGGGAGUAAUACCGUAUGUGCCCUACGGGGGAAAGAUUUAUCGGCAAGAGAUCGGCCCGCGUUGGAUUAGGUAGUUGGUGGGGUAAUGGCCUACCAAGCCGACGAUCCAUAGCUGGUUUGAGAGGAUGAUCAGCCACACUGGGACUGAGACACGGCCCAGACUCCUACGGGAGGCAGCAGUGGGAAUCUUAGACAAUGGCGCAAGCCUGAUCUAGCCAUGCCGCGUGAGCGAUGAAGGCCUUAGGGUUGUAAAGCUCUUUCAGUGGGGAAGAUAAUGACUGUACCCACAGAAGAAGCCCCGGCUAACUCCGUG